CCAGCAGCUUCUGGGGCAACCGGCUCGCCACCCAUUCCGCACCGCAGCCUGGGGUUUGUUGCUGCCUCCUAAUUCCGUUCCGUUCUUCUGCCCUAGCGUUUUGUUAAAUCCGUAGCCGUGUAGCAAUGCAAAGCGCAAUUGGAGAAAUUUGUUCUUGGGAUGUUCCAAGCAUACAGUGUGAUUUGGAGGUUUAGAGCUCGUCUAUUGCAUUGAAAUGUAAAGUUAGCAGUAUUUAUUUUGUUCAUUGUGCAUUUCAAGGUUGGCAAACCAAGCUUACCACUUUACCAGUAUAUUUAAAUUUAGACCACGGGCCUUAUUGAAUUUUACUUUUGCUUCCUUUUUUAUGUAUGUAUAUGCUGAAAUGGUAAAGUUUGAAUAGACCAAACAGAUUAAACGAUUGAGAUUAAUUUAAAUAAGAAAAAAAUUUCCUUUGUUGCUGGUACUCAGGCACUGUCCUUCUUUUUUCAUAUACAACUGUAUGUGCGUUUUUACUGCUAAUAUAGAGUAUGCUAUGUUGGAUGGGGUAAAGAUUAUUUGAACACCCUGGAUUUAGCAUGUCAACUGUGGAAAUUAUUAUUUUUAAACACCUCAACUGAGGAAACUAUAUUGUCUUCGAUGGGCCAUUGUUUCAGUUGAUAUAUUUAUUGCCUGAAUUGUUUUGUUGUGCUGAAAUAUACUUAGGAUUGAGGGCAGUACUUUUCAUGUUUGCUUCUUGUAUUUUCUUGUAAGCGAUGUGACAUUGAUUGGCUUUCUUUCUCACAUCAUGCCCCGCAUCACAUAUGACUGACCAGAAACUAAUUGGGCACCAAACAGUGUGUGAUGAGCAUAGUGCUGAUUGAGUGAUUGUAUUUGUGCCUUCUUUUCUAAAUUAUCUUCAGUAUGUCUUACCUAUUGAAAUCUGCUUGCACCCGGGAAAUUCCCAACUGAUAAAAAAUGGACGAGGAUAAACCUUUCUCUUUACUAGGAAAAGCAAACGAAGAUUAAUUAUAUAAUGAUGCUAGGUAAUCACUGUUGAAGGAAGUGAUAGAACUACUGUAUUUUAAGUGGUAGCUCAUACUGAAAUUUACUCAAAGAAAUAUGCAUAAAGAGCAGCCCAGAAUCAUGAAGCACGACCACUAUGUUUGAUUCAUGCCAUGUCUGAAAAGCAUCUGAUCAGUAUCUCCUUUAUUUGAAAUGAAAUAUUAUGUUAUUUUACUCUGAAGUUCUGACAAGCUGUUUAAUAUGUUCAAUAUGCAGAUAAGGUUUAUGGUCAAGAUAUGCCCGAUUGAAAUGAGAGUGAGUAAAAAAAAUAGUCCAAGUAUCUGAUGUUUUUUGUCCAUUGUUAAAUGCCUAAAAUUUUGCUUUCGGCUGCAGCUUAAGAGAUGGGAGCGAAAGAAAUGUAAACCGAACAGCCUUCCUGUGCUGCACAAGAUGCAUGUUAGGAUUGGGGAUACAGUACAAGUCAUUGCAGGCCGUGAGAAAGGUAAGGUUGGAGAAGUUACACGCCUUUUCAAGCACAACAGCACUGUGAUAGUGAAGGACCUGAACUUGAAGUCAAAGCACAAGAAAGGCACAGAGGAUGAACCGGGUGAAAUCGUCAUGGUCAGCAAAUAUUUCUAUCGAGCGUCUUUUGGGCCUCCUGUUAUGUGUUGCAUAGUUGCAUAUGUUUAUUUCAAGACUAUAGUUUUAGGUGCCUGAUAGCUAUCUCCUGAUUAGACUUAAAUUUCUUUUGACCAGAUUGAGGGCCCCAUUCAUAGCUCAAAUGUGAUGCUCUACUCGAAGGAGAAGAAUGUGACAAGCAGGGUUGGCCACAAAUUCCUCGAGGACGGGACCAAGGUCCGGUACCUGGUCAAGACUGGGGAAGUAAUCGAUAGCGUCGAAAAAUGGGUAAAGGUGUUUAAGGAAGGAAAUUCGGAGUAACCAUGUUGGCAUGAAAAGCCUGCAC
rnacentral:lncRNA from 1 species